AUAAUCCACACAGUAAUGAAGCUAGACUCUCUCCUGGUGUUGACACAUCAGAUUUUUAGAGACAUGAGAGAUAGACAUGUCAAUAACUGAAAAAAACUUGAGUAUCCAACCAAAUCAUUUUAUUAAUACAUGUAGAUUUUGUUAUCGACACAUAAGCAAAGAGAACCAAUUCAUUAAACAACAAUAGCGUGUUCUUCCUGCCUCCAUCUUCUCUCUCUCUCUCCAUCUCCAUGUCAAUGGUAAUGAUUCUAAUGAAUCCUCUCUGUUUUUAGAUCUACAAAGAACUACUUUCUCAUCACCUCUUUUCUGUUGAUUUUAAUCCUGGUGAAGGUAGAAUAAUUGAACGAGUGAAGAAGAACCAGAGGAGGUGUGCGACAGGAGUUGUGGAGACUGGAGUAAGAGAACCGAGGUUUGACGCGGAUGCUCUGGAGGCUGGAGGCGGAGGCGGAGGCGGAGGCUCUGGUAGCGGCGGGUUAGGUUUAGGUUAAGAUUUGGUUUUGUUAGUUAGAUUUUGGUUUAAUGUUAUCGAUUAGUCUUCGGUUAAUGUUAUCGAUUAGUCUUUGGUUUAUUAUGUCAUAGAAAUGAGGUCUUAGGGACGGACAAGAGUGGAAGCACGUUCUCCAUGCUAACUUGCACCAUCUCAGCUAAGAUCUUCUUCGCCUUACCAGACUGAUCAUCACCGUCUAUAUGAGAGAUUAAGCUCGACACUAUGUUCUCUAUUGUAUCAGGUUGAACCUCUGACCUCGGGCUUUCCGAGUCCCUUAGUAAACAGAGGAGUCUCUGAGCUUUCCGAGUCCCUUAGUAAACAGAGGAGUCUCUGAGCUUUGGUACGAGACUUCGAGGUCCCUUGAACCGUGAGCUCAAGGAGUCCAGAUGAAAUAGCCAUCGCAUACUUCGUUAAUCUGUGCAAGAACGGAUUCGUCUCCGGCUUCAAUUUGAGAGAGCAGCAAUUCAUAACCACGGAAUUCUUUCCCAAGGAGGUGAGAAGACUUGUGUGAGAUCCAGCCUCUGCAAAACUUCAGGAUAUUUGGAGAUUCUUUGGAAGGUUUUGCAUGAGAUUAAGCAUCCGGUGAAAUCUUUGAAAGACGAUUCUCCUACCUUACCGAGGAUAGCACCUAGCGCAUCAUCGGGAAGGGUAUGUUGCAGCUGAUUGUGCAUUGAUAUCACAUUUCAAUUGAGGAGAAAUUAUUGAAGUUUUGGGAUACAGAAGAUGGAAAAAAGUGUGCUGAUGCAGGCUUCUUUUGAGAGAGAACUGCAGAUCAUUAUUUAGUGCUGCAAUUAGCGGGAAAGAUAGAGCAAGUCACACAAUGUGUGAUUAUGGGCAUACCAAUGAAACUUGGAACCGGCAUACUCAGAUUUUCAUUCCUCUCUAUUUUUUUUAAGGUUCAGGUUAAGACUACUGCUUGUUUUACGACUCUAAUAGACUUAGGUGACAUCUCAUCUUGUUCAUCAGCCCUUGGUUUAUUCAGAAUCCAUUAUCUUUCUAAAA